UACGGGGGGGGCAAGCGUUGUUCGGAUUUACUGGGCGUAAAGGGAGUGUAGGCGGUUGGCCAAGUCGGAUGUGAAAGCUUCACCACUCAACGGGAAGAGGUCAUCCGAAACUGGUCGGCUAGAGUAGGGUAGAGGCAAGCGGAAUUCCUGGUGUAGCGGUGGAAUGCGCAGAUAUCAGGAGGAACACCAAUGGCGAAGGCAGCUCGCUGGGACGGUACUGACGCUGAGGCGCGAAAGCGUGGGGAGCAAACAGG
rnacentral:rRNA from 1 species